AUGACUGCUAUGCACGGCUCGGCUCCACACAGAACAGAGGAGUCGCCGACUCCAGAUCCAGCGCCGCCAGGAUUCAGCCCCACCGCCGCCGCCGCCGGGAUUCGCUUCAGCGCCGCCGCCGGGAUUCGCAUCGCCGCCGCUGGUAGUUGCCUCCGCGCCGCUGCUGGGAGUCACCCAAACUUGCGUCGGCAAGAGGUAGCAUUAUCUAUUUGCUACAAUCUGAAGAAGUGUAGGGCUUGGAAACCAAAGCUUCUUAACUGUUUGUACAAGACUAGAGUCAACUGGAUUGUUGCUGGCAGAGUGUUAUAG
rnacentral:rRNA from 1 species